rnacentral:rRNA from 1 species
CCCGACUCCUACGGGAGGCAGCAGUGGGGGAUAUUGCACACUGGGGGAAACCCUGCUGCAGCGACGCCGCUUGAGUGAAUACGUCUUUCGGUAUGUCCCGCUCUAUCCGCCUUUAAGAAAAACGCCGGUACCUGACUCCUCCGCCCCGGCUCCCUCCGUGCCAUCCUCCUCGGUAAUCCUUCUGGGGCAAGCGUUCUCCGGAUUUCCUGGGUGUAAAGGGAGCGUAGACGGCAAUACAAGUCGGAAGUGAAAUACCCGGGCGGAACCUGGGAACUGCUUUGGAAACUGUAUGGCUGGAGUGCUGGAGAGGGAAGCGGAAUUCCUAGUGUAGCGGUGAAAUGCGUAGAUAGGAGGAGGAACACCAGUGGCGAAGGCGGCGUACUGGACAGUAACUGACGUUGAGGCUCGAAAGCGUGGGGAGCAAACAGGAUUAGAUACCCCGGUAGAU